AUGUGAUUCAGCCUGUUCCUGUACAGGAGUUUUUAUAUAUUCUUCUGCAGAUUCUUCUUCUCUGAACACCUGUCGGGCGGAUGAAGUCGGUGAGUGGAGCUCGAGUGCAGAUUGACAGCAAACAGUGGAAGAUGAACUGGAUCACGAGUUUGUCCAGAGAUGGCAAAACGCAACAGAAAGAAAAGAAGAGCGGCAGGAGAAGGAAGGCGGAGUCCCGCCCCCACACCUGAUUGAUUGACAGAUGAUCUGUGGGAAGGGAGGCCAGAAGAGCGACGAGCCAGGAAGCAUCAUUUUUAUUUCUUCAAUGAAUUCUGUCACAUUGAUGGACAACACAAUACAAAACACACAACACAAUACAGAGCACACAACACAUUUUGAAGAUAUUGCUGAGAUGCAUGAAAGAAUGACAUGAUUUAGAAAAUAUGCUGAUAUUAAAAAAUUGCCCAAAACAGGCAGCAGGCGCAGGGUAAUGUUACCACAAUUACAUUUUCACACUGAUCAGUAGGUGGCGCUAUGACCCUGAACUAAUAAUAAUAUAUAGAUGUGUUCAGGUCACGAUUGUGAUCAUAGGUCAGUAGUUCUGUGCCGGUUGGAUAAUGCAAAGUGGAUUUACAAAGUACUCAGUAGGUGGCGCUAUGACACUGAGGAAAUAAUGACACAAAGAGCUGUGGUUUCUGAUCAUGAGACAGCAGUUUGGUGGUGAUAGGACAAUGCACAGUGGAGUUAUGACAACAUUGUCUCCUCAUCCAAAGGAGACAAUGUUGUACUUGAUGUGCGGCGAAGGACAAUCCAUCGGCGCACAUCAAUGUUUACACGGUUUGAGGAAAUGUCACAAUUCUGACCUUGAUCCAAUGACUUGACUGAGAUCUUUUGAGCUCUAUAUUGUAAAGCAGCCAGGAGCCGUUCGUCAAAGUAUAAAACAUGUCACUUCCUGUAGCCAGCAGGUGGCGCUGUGAUUUUCAGUCAAGUUCUCUGUGUAGAUGUCUUCAGGCCGGGACUCUUGUCUUAAACGUCUAGUUUGGACCCGAUUCGACCAAAUAUGCCAGAGAUACAGAAGCUCGUGUUUUGAUGUUGUGUAAUCAAACUUUGAUGCCACGCCACGGUCACACGGUGUGAUGAAAUCAAAUACACCGAGGUAGUUUAUAUCUCUGUCUUGUUUAGAUGACAUUCCCAGAAGUUGAUGACCAGUACGUCAAAGUAAAAAUGUGGA